CGGGGUGUAGCUCAGUCGGUUAGAGCGGCAAUCUUAUACGUUGAUGGACGCGCGUUCGAGUCGCGCCACCCCGA
rnacentral:tRNA from 1 species